UACGUAGGGUGCAAGCGUUAAUCGGAAUUACUGGGCGUAAAGCGUGCGCAGGCGGUUGUGCAAGACAGAUGUGAAAUCCCCGGGCUCAACCUGGGAACUGCAUUUGGGACUGCAAGGCUGGAGUACGGCAGAGGGAGGUGGAAUUCCACGUGUAGCAGUGAAAUGCGUAGAGAUGUGGAGGAACACCGAUGGCGAAGGCAGCCUCCUGGGCUAGUACUGACGCUCAUGCACGAAAGCGUGGGGAGCAAACAGG
rnacentral:rRNA from 1 species